UUGGAAGUAAGUUGGGAGCCUCCGCUAGGUCACCCUACUUCCAUUUGUGUGUAAUAAUUUUAGGCAAUUUCCCCUUAGGAUAGUGAGUGUUUUGUUGGGAACCUUAAAUGAGGUCAUCCAAACACUCUUAGGAUCCGCCUAGUUUGCAUUUCUUGCACUUUAAUUUCUUGCUUAUUUUCAUAGCUUAUUUCCUUUACCCUCCAUUGUCAAACUACCUAGAUAGCUUG
rnacentral:lncRNA from 1 species